rfam:Microgenomates (Shapirobacteria) bacterium GW2011_GWE1_38_10 TS68_C0020, whole genome shotgun sequence.
GGCCGCUUGGCUCAGUGGUAGAGCAUUCCAUUCACAUUGGAAAGGUCAAAGGUUCGAUCCCUUUAGCGGCCA